UGGGGCUCUGGUCCUCUCGCAACAAUAGCUCGUGAACUCGGUCAGGUCCGGAAGGAAGCAGCCGCAGCGUGUGACUUGUGUGCCGGGAUGUGGCUGGGGUCCCACCCUUUAAA
rnacentral:SRP_RNA from 1 species